rnacentral:lncRNA from 1 species
UCUUCUAAUUUAAUAAGCACAUAAGCAAGUACAAAUAAAAUAUAAAAAAUUCAAACUAAAGUCACAAAUUUAAAACUGACUACUGGUCUAGCACAAAUAGAAUAGAAAAAAUCCAAAGUAACAGUCAUAAUUUGAAAAUUAAGUUCAAAGUCCAAACAUAGUAAUAAUAACUACUCAAGUCUUAUACUACGAGCACAAUACUCCAUCCUCUCCAAACAACGAUCAACAUGAGCCCUCAAGCAGAAAAUCUCAAUACGUUGUGGAUGGUAAUUAUAAACAUUACCACAAUAAAUACACUCAACUUUGCACCCUCCAUCAUUAUCUUCUUCAAGCUUUUGAUAGUGAUUCUAAACAGGUGAUCGAAUUUUAGGACCACGACGUUGAGACAUGGUAAAACCUAAUUAAUAGAGAAACAAAGAUAUUAGAAAUACCCCAAACAACUUUAACUAUAUAAGAUAAGUAAAAGAACUAAACCAAUAGAGAUACACAGUUGUUUAUCUAUAAUGCUACAACAGAACAUCAAAAACUUAAAGCAAUGUAACUUAAAAAUAGAGAAUAGACCAACUAUGGAACCAGAAAGCAGAAUCUUUAGCCUCUAUAGCAGUUGUAAAUCCUACAUAUGCAAGUACAAACCACUUCUCGUGUUCAUUGUACUUUGGAGAAUGCAAAGCAAUGAAUCCAUCUACAUAUUUUAAUCAUUCUUUUGCCAACAACGAAGCAGUAAUUGCCCCUUUUGCACAAUAUACACGUAAAAUAGUGCAACCUACACCUCCUUCUCAACACAAGUUUUGCAUCAUUCCUCUGCCAGUGAGGAAGAUAUAAAAGCAUUAUUGCAUUAUUUGUCUGUUAAAUGAAUUGGAAAUUGAUUCUUUUUCUUACUUUGUUCAAGUUGUUAUAUGUCAUCAAUGCUAGGAUCUUUUUCAUGUUUGGUCAAAUCUAAAUAAAUUAAAAGAACAAGUCAAGACUAAAGCAACAAAAAUAUUAAAUAAACAAUUCACCAAAUGAAAGGUUCUUUUCUUACCUUGUUCAAGUUUCUCGAAAGAAUCUAAAUCCUCCUCGACACUUAUAGGUUGUGAUUCACUUUGAAGCCAAUCUUGUACACACACUAGAGCUUCUACCAAUUUAGGAGUUAAUGAAAUCCUAAAUGAAUCAAUAAUACGUCUGUCGGUACUGAAAGCACAUUCUAAUAUUACACUUGAAAUAGGAACAGCUAAAAUAUCUCGAGUCAUCUAAGAAAGAAAGGAGAAUCUAGCAGAGUUAUAUUUCCACCAAAGCAAUACACUAAAAUCAAGUUUUCCAACUUUAAUAUCUUCUGCAAGAUAUUUAUCCAAUUCCGACUUCGAAUUUUCGACUCUACUUUCAGAUGUGUGUCUACUUAAUUUCUCAUAAAAGUUACUAAUAUCUUCCACAAUCAUAGAUCUUGAACUAGAAGCCUCUACUUCUGUUGAAGAUAGGUUACCACCUUUGUCUAUUUAAGCAGACUUUGAAACUCAUCAAACAAUGAUUUCAUGUACUCUCGUGCAUCUUUUUCUAUAGUUGAUGCUUUGUCCCCAAACAUCUUCUUAAGUGCAAAACUAAGAGUGGUAAAUCUGUGGAGAGGAUCCAAAACGCAGGAUAUAAAAAGUAUUUUAUUCAUUUUUGUUGGAUCACACCAAUAUUUUUCAAAUUUCUCUUUCACCUUUGUUGCCAUCUGAUUCAAUACACUAUCAUCACUUGAUAUCAAUUUUGUUAAGUAAAAACCAGCUUGACAACUUUCAAGAAAAUGAAUAUUUGAUGUAAUAGACAAUGAUCCUGAUACCUUUAAAGUAAGACUAAAAAAUAAUUCAAGAAAUUUUGUAAUUCUUUUCACACUAUCCCAAUCACUACUCAAAAGCGUACCUGCAAGUUGUUCAUAGUCAUCCACAAUAUCACCAUCACACACAUGGAUAUGACUAAACUCAAAAUAAUGUAUUAAACCAAUAUCAUGAUUAGCAUAAUUUAAAAUGACACCCUCAUAUUCAAUAGCCCUGUUCAACAUCAAGUAGGUGGAAUUUCACCUUGUAGGAACAUCUAAGAAUAAAAACUUUUUUGCAAGAUUUUCAUCUUCACAACAUUCCUGAAAGUUCUUUCAUCUAGUAGGAGAUUACCUAAUGUAUCUCACUACUUGCCUAAUUCGUUCAAUAGAUACAGUUGCUUCUUUUAUACCAUCCUAAACGACAAGGUUUAUGAUACGCGUCAUACACCUAACAUGAAGGUGCUUACCACCCAUAAGAUUGGUCCCCCACUUAGUCAAUUGCUUAGACAACUCAACCACACACACUAUUUGAACAAGCAUUAUCAACAGUAACGGUGAAAAUCCGAUGCAAUCCUCAUUCAUGCAAACACUUAAUAAUACCCUUUGUCAUAUCUUCACCUCUAUGGCUAGAAAUUGGACAAAAGUUGAUAGCUUUUUAUGCAAAGUUCAAUAUUUAUCAAUCCAAUAAGCAGUAAUACACAUAUAAUUGAUUCUUUGCACAGAGAUUCACGUAUCAGUCGUUAUACACACUCUUUGUUGAGUUUCCUUUAAAAUGCUCUUCAUUUUAUUUUUCUCUUCAUCAAAGAGAUCAAAACAAUCACGAGUAACAGUGGUACAAGAAGGAACUUGAAACAAAGGUUGUACCACUUUCAUAAAUUAUUUAAAGCCUUCUUUUUCAACAAAUCUAAAAAGAAGCUCAUCAAGAAUUAUCAUACGACACAAUGCUUUUCUGCACUCUUCUUGAUCAAAUUUCCAUAAAACAAUUGAUACAUCACCCUUGUUACCCCCUGUAACCGGGUGAAAUUCUAUCUUUGAUUGCCUAGUAUUAACAUUACAAGGCAUUUUUUUGCAUUUUUUAUAUGAUUAAGCAUUGCCAUCGUACCAUGUUCUUUUGUAUUAGCUAAAUACUCUUGUUUACAAUAAUUACACAUACCUUUUUUAUAUCCUUCCAAAUCAAUUUUAGGAGUAAAAGAUCCCACACAACAGAUGUUUUUCUCCUUUCUUUCUUUGUUUUAAACUCAACUACAUUCGAAUCAGAAGCUAUACUUUCACCAAUCACUUUAUCAACUUUAGUAUUUUGUGGCAUCUAGUUGUAUCAACGUAACUGUGAUUUUAAAAGAAAUAAUCAAACAAUAAGCCAAUAACAUAAAUUCAACAAGAAAAUAACAAAAUUACAACAUAAAAUAACAAAAAAUUGACAAUGUCCAUACAACAAAAUAGAACACAGAAUAUCAGCAUAUAAGCAGUGGCUUACUGACUUGACAUUAAUUUAGUAACUUAAGAUAACACUAGUGUAUUCAGCCAACCAUAUAGUCAAUACAUGCUAACAUUUCUGAUUUCAAUCAACAAAUAAAUAGAAGUCAAUCAUUCGCAAUAAACUGAUCAACGGACAUAGUAUAUGAAAACAAUAAGGGCUUAAUAUACAAGACCUUUCAUCGACACUAAUCUAAUACAAAGAUCUUCUUCCUCUCAUUGAUUGGUGGUUGGUUAGCUUGAUCCUAGUUUUAUUGUAUAUUCAUUGUACUAGGCAAGGAUAACUAUUCAAAACUACUAUCAGUAUAGGCACAACGAGAAACCAGACUGGCAAUUAGGGUGGACAUGGGCAACUAAUGAGUUUAUUUGGUCAAUGUCUAGUGCUUUUUCCACUAAGCAUGGGAAUUGUUCAACCUUCAAGUCUGAAAUUCCAUACAAUUGCAAGAAAGAUCCUAUUAUAGUCAUGGUGGAUUUCUUGCUGCCUCAGCCAUCAAUUCUUCCGAUUCUUUCACAUCCUUUGAGAUGAAAGUUGGAAAUUUAAGGGGCAACUAUACAGCUCACGAGACUUUAAAUCUCACUCUAAUGAUUUUACUUGUGAUGAAUAUAUGGACACAGAUCCAACAACAUCUUCGGUUAUAGAAGGACAAAGACAAGAACAAGUAAUUAGUAAAUAUCCUAUUUGAAAACUUAUACUACAACAACAUACCCAGUGUAAUCCCACAAGUGGGGUCGGGGAGGGUAGUGUGUACGCAGCCAUGCCUCUACUUUAUGAAGGUAGAAAGACUAUUUCGGAUAGACCCUCGACUCAAGUAAAACAUAUUACAAUUUAAUUGGUCAAGCAUUGCAGAAUUGAGAAUACCCUCAUUUUUUAAGUGUUCACUGUAAAGUAUUUUUUGGUCAAAGUUCACUGUAAAGUAUUACAUAGACUACUAAAUCUCAUUUCUUCUUUGUUAUUGCAUUCAGGAACAUGGAAAUGAACAUGCAACUACUCAACUUUCUUGACCAUUUUGCAUAGAUAACUAAUAUUGUUGUGGUUUAUAUACAUGAUAUAGACAAAGCUAAUUAUCUACCUUUUACUUAAGUCUUUUUUUUUUAAUUUUGAGAUAUAGUUCACUACUUCACUUCCCAGUUUCCAUUAUAUUACCAAAUACAUACAACUUUAAUAUCAUCAAACAAUGUUUGUGACCUUUGUUGGCUUUAGCAGUAACACUACAGUUGCACUAAUGUACAAAAACAAAAAAAAACAUCAAAAUUUCUGAACUUAAAUUGUCCUUAGCAAGUUAACAACGCAACAACAGCAGCGAAGCAGAGAUUGGACACUGGCCACAAAUUGAAGAUAAAGCAGAAGACUAUCUAAGAAACAAGAAUAAGAUGGAGCAAAAAUUAUUACCUGAGUAAGUAGUUAUGAGCAGCAAGUCAACAACAGAUGAGCAAUUUUGAGCAAAAAUUGAGCAGUUGUGAGAGUCUGAGAGAGAGACUGAGAUAAGAGUGACUGAGUGAGUGAUUGGUUAGAGGCGCUAACAGUGAAAUGUGAAUAAACCCUAUUACCCUUUCCCUUUAGGUUUGGGUCGCCUUUUGGACCAGUGGGUAACUGGGUAAUGAGUAUUGGAACUGUAGAGUAGAGUAGAAGUAGCAUAUUUGUUAUUAAGAUAUCG